rnacentral:lncRNA from 1 species
CUACUUUUGGGAGGCUGAGGUAGGAGGAUCGCUUGAGCCCAAGAGGUGGAGGCUGUAGUGAGCUGUGAUGACACCACUGCACUCCAGCCUGGACAACAAAGCAAGACCUUGUCUUGAUAAUCAUCAUCAAAAUAAUAAUAAUUUCAUCAAUAGGUCACCAUUAUGGACUUCAAUGUGGACAUGCUUUAUGCGAACUGUGCUUGUUAAUAAAUGAAGAAUGCACUACAAUUAUAUGCCCUGAUUGUGAGGUUGCUACAGCUGUGAAUACUAGACAAGGCUACUACCCAAUGGCUGGAUGUUUUAAAGAAGACCUUGUAAUGGAAAAACUGCAGCCUAAGACGUAUGUCCCAUGUGUAUUUAUUUGAAUAUUUAGAGUCAGUGUGUUAC